GGUAUAACAGGCCCUUCGACCGCGUCCACCGGGGUGCCCUCGACUCCCUGCCCCCUCACCUGGCCCGGACGCGGACCUGAACCCGCGGAGCCGGACCUGAGGAACACUGAUAAGGGAACCAUCCUCCCUCGCCCUAGACUCCAACUGUAGCAACAAGGAGCUGAGGCGGAGACAAACUGAACAAUCCUUCAACACUGUUAUGAAGACAAAAUAUCACCACACAAGUCCACUUGAUCCAAUGACCCUUUGGAAAUGACUGCUUGGGCUCUCAAUUUAUACAUCUUUUCUCUGAGAUUUAAGAGGAAGAGAAAGUAAAUAUUUACCAGAAUUUUCAGCCAGCCGUAACUUUCCGCAACAAAGGUACCGUCUCCAUUGCUUCCUGACAUUCUCUUUUGCUACACAGUAGAAGAUGAAUAUGAAGGAUCCUAAAGGGGGAGAAAAGAACCAUAACAUAAUGAAUUCCAAAUUAAGGUCAUAUGAAUGUCAUAUGCUUACUUUGCAUAAGACAUAAAAUCUUUGGCAGCUAUGGGUAAAGUGAAAUUUUGCAAAUUGAAGCUUUCUAUGGAAAAGCAUCCAGGGGAUGCUUCUCUUUUAAUUUUUGUAAAAUAAAGACUAUUUUAAAAAGAAUGAUAACUUUACAUUUUUGAAAAUACAUUCACUGUCUGUCUUCUCACAUCUGAUCCUUGGCCCUUCCCUGUCUUCCACCUACCUAGUAUUCUAGCCACGACUUUGGCUGCUACCUCUCCUUCCCUUUGGAUUCAUAAUCCAUUUCGAAAUUCUGUUAAAUGUCAUCUUUUCUAGUCUCACAUCCAUCUUUCCCACCGUCCUGCCUACUGCUGGGCUCCUUGCUUGGGCCUUGCCCUAUGUGCAGCAAGCCUGAGGGUGGCAGCAAUGGGCAAAUCUACUACCUCCCUU